ACAGAACGAUUACUCUUUUCUAAAGCAUUUUUCGGACUCGGUAUUAAGAUGAGACUUGCUCUUGUUACAUAAUUUCCGUUCUGAAAAGCCAUUGAGCAAUUUGUGAAUUUAAUGUACGCUGGAACUGUCAACCGCAUGCAAUACGCUCUAUAAAAAAAUUUACGAAAUUUAUGGACGAGAAGUGUGCUGGAGGUGUGGUCGAAAGAAAAAAUUAAGCGGGGCUUGGGGAAAUUUGCGCUUUCUGGGCGGCUUCUUCGUCGAAGAGGAUGAGCGUGCUCGAAUUAUGGAACUGAAGUAUCACGUUUUCUGUUUUUUGCUGCAGCGGUGACGUCAAUCGAGCGUGGGUAAAAACCGGAGGUAGUUUUGAGAAGACAAUUGGAUGAGAUUGAAUCAGUGUUAUUAAAUUGGUUGCCAAUGAGAGGAUAGAUAUUUAAUAGUGGAAGAAUUAUCAAAGAAAAAAGAUGGAAAACAGGAUAAAGAAAAUUUCCAGUACUAGUCGUAUAAUAGCUUUUAAUAAAAGUAGGAGUCACUGACA